UCCGGCGUCGUCUAAUGGCAGGACGGGGGACUUUGGAUCCUCUAAUCGUGGUUCGAGUCCACGCGCCGGAACCA
rnacentral:tRNA from 1 species